AACGGAUGACCUGCUUGCCGGGCUUCCCAUUACUGAUUCUUGAGAGAAAUGAGGACCACUGACUAAUGAGGGAAUUGCUCUACUGAGAUGAGAAUGAGCCUUCCUCAAGCCAUCGUACGCAGGGAGGACCGACGGAUGACUGACUCCGCCGGCCGGGCUGGUCAUUGCUGAUUCUUGAGAAGAUGAGGGCGCCAAGCUUGGAUGAGAUUGGACAAUGACGAAGCUGUAUCUGGACAAGGAAACCUCCACAGUUAACUUGCAGAAUAUUGGAUCAGAAAUCAGACUGCAUAUUUUGCAAAGUCAUUAAAAACACAUAUAAAACGACGAAAGUACGACUUUUCACACCAACUUUACAGCGAUAUUUGAAGAAAUAAUGACUGAAAUCAGUGUUGUUUUUUACCGUUACUGCGAUACCUACCCGAAAUAUUUGACUAUACGUGUGUGAAGAAAAUUGAAAACCAAAAAAUGAAAUCGGUGUGAAAUAAAUUACAGCGAAAAUCACAUCGAACGUGGAAUUUUCUUAUCGCAGAAAUAUCACUCCGCUUCCUACACGUGGCUUGGAAAAUUAAGAAAAUUACACCGAAAAUCAAACCGGCAAAUAAGUAAAGUACCGAACAUACGGCCAAAAAAAUCACAGCGCUGUUGAGAGAAUACCGGUAAUACUUGAUUUCAGAGUUAUUAUUCUUACCUACAAAGUAAAAACAAAUCAGUCGCGGAAACAACGAAAUUAAAGCGACGAAUAUUACGGCAAAACUGAACAGUGGCCGCGAAAGAAAUAAAUACUUGAAAAUCGGUGUAAAUUUUCCUAAACUUCGAUGUCAUUCAAAAAUUGGCCAAAGUAAAGUGACUGAAAUUGUGAUCAAACAAUUUUGAAGUUAUGAUGGGCAGCAACUACCGGUACUACACUGCUUCAAAAAGUCGGAAAGCGAAUUUUGGCCAAACGGCGUGAAAAAUGACGGCAGCAAAACAAAAUCAAAUCUGACGGAAACUACGGAAAGAAAAGUAGAUCAUAUCGAACUAAAACAAUAUGACUGACUUUCAUUUCCAUCGGUAUUUAAAGGCAUUUUUUCCCCUGCUGAUCUUCACUACAUCUUAAAAGUAUAUUCGUCAGCAAAAAUAAAGAAAAUUAGUGACAUCGUCGAGAAGUUUGCCUUCAAAAGACCUAGCGGCCCAAAAAAAACAAACCAAGUUAUGCAUGUGACAGGGUACAACUUAAAUGUGGUCAACAAGCGAUUUCAGAAAAUGGCCGACUUAGGGAUGUAUAAGACGUGCGACACUUCUUUGU